rnacentral:rRNA from 1 species
UGCCCUAGUAACGGCGAGUGAAGCGGCAACAGCUCAAAUUUGAAAUCUGGCACUUGUGCCCGAGUUGUAAUUUGUAGAGGAUGCUUUUGGCGACGCGCCUUCCGAGUUCCCUGGAACGGGACGCCAUAGAGGGUGAGAGCCCCGUCCGGUCGUGCGCCUAGCCUCUGUACAGCUCCUUCGACGAGUCGAGUAGUUUGGGAAUGCUGCUCUAAAUGGGAGGUAUACGUCUUCUAAAGCUAAAUACCGGCCAGAGACCGAUAGCGCACAAGUAGAGUGAUCGAAAGAUGAAAAGCACUUUGAAAAGAGGGUUAAAUAGUACGUGAAAUUGCUGAAAGGGAAGCGCUUAUGACCAGACUUGGGCGCGGCGGAUCAUCCGGCGUUCUCGCCGGUGCACUCCACCGCCCCAGGCCAGCAUCAGUUCGCGCCGGGGGACAAAGGCUUCGGGAAUGUGGCUCCCUCGGGAGUGUUAUAGCCCGUUGCGUAAUACCCUGGUGCGGACUGAGGUCCGCGCUCUGCAAGGAUGCUGGCGUAAUGGUCAUCAGUGACCCGUCUUGAAACACGGACCAAGGAGUCGUCUUCGUAUGCGAGUGUUCGGGUGUCAAACCCCUACGCGGAAUGAAAGUGAACGUAGGAGAGAGCUUCGGCGCAUCUCCGACCGAUCCUGAUGUUCUCGGAUGGAUUUGAGUAAGAGCAUACGGGGCCGGACCCGAAAGAAGGUGAACUAUGCCUGUGUAGGGUGAAGCCAGAGGAAACUCUGGUGGAGGCUCGCAGCGGUUCUGACGUGCAAAUCGAUCGUCAAACAUGGGCAUGGGGGCGAAAGACUAAUCGAACCUUCUAGUAGCUGGUUUCCGCCGAAGUUUCCCUCAGGAUAGCAGUGUUGAACUCAGUUUUAUGAGGUAAAGCGAAUGAUUAGGGACCCGGGGGCGCUAUAUUGCCUUCAUCCAUUCUCAAACUUUAAAUAUGUAAGAAGCUCUUGUUGCUUAGUUGAACGUGAGCAUUCGAAUGUAUCAACACUAGUGGGCCAUUUUUGGUAAGCAGAACUGGCGAUGCGGGAUGAACCGAACGCGAGGUUAAGGUGCCAGAGUAGACGCUCAUCAGACACCACAAAAGGUGUUAGUACAUCUUGACAGCAGGACGGUGGCCAUGGAAGUCGGAAUCCGCUAAGGACUGUGUAACAACUCACCUGCCGAAUGUACUAGCCCUGAAAAUGGAUGGCGCUCAAGCGUCUCACCCAUACCUCGCCCUCAGGGUAGAAACGAUGCCCUGAGGAGUAGGCGGACGGGCGUGAGCCCGGGUUGAACGGCCUCUAGUGCAGAUCUUGGUGGUAGUAGCAAAUACUUCAAUGAGAACUUGAAGGACCGAAGUGGGGAAAGGUUCCAUGUGAACAGCGGUUGGACAUGGGUCAGUCGAUCCUAAGCCAUAGGGAAGUUCCGUUUCAAAGGCGCACUUGUGCGCCGUCUGGCGAAAGGGAAGCCGGUCAAUAUUCCGGCACCUGGAUGUGGGUUUUGCGCGGCAACGCAACUGAACGCGGAGACGACGGCGGGGCCCCCGGGCAGAGUUCUCUUUUCUUCUUAACGGUCUCUCACCCUGAAAUCGGUUUGUCCGGAGCUAGGGUUUAAUGGCCGGAAGAGCCCAGCACCUCUGCUGGGUCCGGUGCGGUCCCGACGUCCCUUGAAAAUCCGCGGGAGGAAAUAAUUCUCACGCCAGGUCGUACUCAUAACCGCAGCAGGUCUCCAAGGUGAACAGCCUCUGGUUGAUAGAACAAUGUAGAUAAGGGAAGUCGGCAAAAUAGAUCCGUAACUUCGGGAUAAGGAUUGGCUCUAAGGGUUGGGUGCGUUGGGCCUUGGAAGGACGCCUCGGGAGCAGGCUGCCACUAGCCGGGCAACCGGCCGGCGGCGGCCAGCAUCUGGGUGCUGAUGUCCUUGGCAGGCUUCGGCCGUCCGGCGCACGGUUAACAACCAACUUAGAACUGGUACGGACAGGGGGAAUCUGACUGUCUAAUUAAAACAUAGCA